rnacentral:rRNA from 11 species
UGUAGCCUAGAUAACCUAAAAGCGCCAGACCCCAUUGGAUUUUGGAAGCUUAAUAAGGUCAGACUAGUUAGUACUUCGGUGAGAGACCAUCAAUUAAUACUAGGUCCUGUAGGUUACAU